rnacentral:rRNA from 1 species
GACGAACGCUGGCGGCGUGCCUAAUACAUGCAAGUCGAACGCAGUGGGGACGGGUGAGUAACACGUGGGUAACCUCCAAUCAGAGGGGAUAACACGUGGAAAAAGGUGCUAAACCGAUACUGAUGGAUGGACCCGGGGUGCAUAAGGUAGUUGGUGAGGUAACGGCUCACCAAGGCCAUGAUGCAUAGCCGAUCUGAGAGGGUGAUCGGCCACACUGGAACUGAGACACGGCCCAGACUCCUACGGGAGGCAGCAGUAGGGAAUCUUCGGCAAUGGACGAAAGUCUGACCGAGCAACGCCGCGUGAGUGAAGAAGGUUUUCGGGUCGUAAAGCUCUUUUGUUGGAGAAGCGGUAUCUAGCCAAAAAGCCACGGCUAACUACGUGCCAGCAGCCGCGGUAAUUC